GCAAUCCUUUUAAAAUGCAUCAUGCUAUUUUAAUUAAUUAACUUAAUUAUUGUUCUCUGUUCUAUUUCAGCAUCAUAAAAAGAUCACUCAAUAGGACUGAUUUUUGCUGGAGUUUUAAACUGUAUGUGAUUUCAGAAACCAAGAGAAGGAACUGGAGGAAGAAAUUCCCCAAGUUCAACAUCCUGGAGGUGAUUUGGCAGAAAUGUGUGCUAAGCAGAGAGUGGUGGAGCAAAAGUCCUCCGAGAUGAGCUAUUGCUGCUGUUUGAUGGAACCUGGUGGAAGUGGAUGGUUUGGAGAAGACCAAGAAAGUUGGUCUUCAGAUGUAUUUGAAAGUUGUGAUAAUUAUGGAAUUAGUUUUUUUACCCUUCUGAAACAAGUACCCAUGGCUUUGCAGUCCUUCAUUAAAAAUGUAUAGCAUACAGGGUGGUCCAUCUACAAUUAUUUAAUUGAAGACCUUUGGAAAAUACAUGCUUACUCUGCUUCUAAACAAAUACAUCAGAGGUAUCUAUUCACAGAAAGCACAGGUGCCAUUCUUUUGAAACACUUUAACAAUGGCAAGGUCCCAU
rnacentral:lncRNA from 1 species